rnacentral:rRNA from 1 species
GGGAGGAAAGUAGGGGAUCGCAAGACCUCUCACUAUUGGAGCGGCCGAUGUCUGAUUAGCUAGUUGGCGGGGUAAAAGCCCACCAAGGCGACGAUCAGUAGCUGGUUUGAGAGAACGACCAGCCACACUGGGACUGAGACACGGCCCAGACUCCUACGGGAGGCAGCAGUGGGGAAUUUUGGACAAUGGGGGCAACCCUGAUCCAGCCAUGCCGCGUGCGGGAAGAAGGCCUUCGGGUUGUAAANNNNUUUUGUCAGGGAAGAAAUGGACUUUNNUAAUACAAGAGUUCGAUGACGGUACCUGGAGAAUAAGCACCGGCUAACUACGUGCCAGCAGCCGCGGUAAUACGUAGGGUGCAAGCGNNNAUCGGAAUUACUGGGCGUAAAGCGUGCGCAGGCGGUUUNNAAGUCAGA